GGAGCGGGAGGCAGGCGGCUGAGACGGGCGCGCCAUUUGCAUUCGCCCGCAGUCAUUUUUAUCCGCGGAGGAUUUCAAAGCCCCAAACAGAUCCACCCACUGAGGCGGCUGAGAAAAGGAGUUCGGCAGGUGCAGCGCUGUCAGGAGAUGAGACAAGCUAGACACACACCUGCUCUGAGACAGUGGGCUGACAUGGGGGCAGCCUUGUCCGGUGGGACCGUCUAAGAUGAUGGGAGUGUCCAGUACGGCAGCCACGAGCCACGUGUGGCCAGUGAGCACUUGAAAUGUGCCAGCGUGACUAAGGAAGCAUUGUGUUAGAGAGCUUCAUUCCCCACAACGUACCCACCCAGAUGCAGUGCUUCCUGGAAUGAACCAUGGUCUCCGUUUUUAUUCAAGUGAAAAUGGAUUGAAUGGGAAAACGAAAUAGGCAUGAAGCUGCCGGCCCUGAGGUCUCUGCUUGGAGAGAGUAUCUGAAUAACUGGGAGCAAGUGGGUUUCCAUAGACUUUACAUCAAAAUUCGCUUUUAAAUUUAAAUACCUUUUACGAUCAAGGACUCCGACAUGAGGCUGAAUUGCCACCAUAAAGACUGCAAUUUUCUGAAGCAGCCCUCUCCACGGACAAGUUAUGGGGCUGUCCAAGGCACCAGGGGGAGAUAUUUUACAAAAGCCAAGAGAGCGGGUUUGUCAACAUCCCUAAAGCUUUAUAUGGGCCUCAUUGGUUCCAAUAAGAGGCUUGUCUGCCAGGCAUCCCUAAAUUCCUUAUGUGAGCAGAGACGAGCUCAGGAGUGCUCCCUGAGGAUGUGGCUGGCCCAUCAGCACUGAAACAGGUCUGACUUUGAACUGAUUAAAAGGGGGAAGAAUUGAAACAAAUGUUACCCUGAGACAAACAUCAGAAUCACCAGGCUUCUCAUGGAUUAUAGACCUCAGGGAGGAGUCAGCUCUCAGAGGGAGUUGACAUUGGUCCAGCCAUCAGAGAACGACAGCCUGUGCAAAGUACCGUGACCAACCCGCAGAGCUGUAUGUGGCUCCCUGGUGCCCAGGUCUAUAGACGUUUGUCUGCAUAGGCUCCCGGACCCAAAGACCGAAGUUAACAUCAUGAGGAUUGGAGUUCCCUUCGUGGCUCAUAGGUUAACAAACCUGAUUAGUAUCAUGCGGUGGGUUCCAUCCCUGGCCUUGCUCAGUGGGUUAAGGAUCCGCCCUUGCCAUGAGCUGUGGUGUGGGUCGCAGAUGCAGCUCAGAUCCUGAGUUGCUGUGACUGUGGCGUAGGCUGGCAGCUAUAGCUCCAAUUCGACGCCUAGCCUGGGAACCUCCAUAUGCUGUGAGUGCAGCCCUAAAAAGACAAAAUAAAUAAAAUAAAAUAAGAUGCUCCUUUAAAAAAUAAAAAUAAUCUCCAAAAUUUAUAAACAACUUCUGCAGCUCCAUACCAAAAAAACAAACAACCCCAUCAAAAAAUGGGCAGUAGAUCUAAACAGACAAUUCUCCAAAGAAGACGUACAGAUGGCCAAGAAACACAUGAAAAGAUGUUCAGCGUCACUCAUUAUUAGAGAGAUGCAAAUCAAAACCAUGAUGAGGUACCACCUUACACCAGCCAGAAUGGCCAGCAUCCAAAAGUCUACAAAUAAUAAGUGCUGGAGAGGGUGUGGAGAAAAAGGAACCCUNNNNNNNNNNNNNNNNNNNNNNNNNNAACAUAGAACUACCAUUUGAUCCAGCAAUCCCACUCCUGGGCAUCUAUCCAGAGAAAACCACGACUCGCAAAGACACAUGUACUCCGAUGUUCAUUACAGCACUAUUUACAAUAGCCAAGACAUGGAAACAACCUAAAUGUCCAUCGAAAGAGGAGUGGAUCCAGAAGAUGUACAUAUACACAAUGGAGUAUUACUCAGCUAUCAAAAAGAAUGAAAUACCAGCAUUUUUAGCAACAUGGAUGGACCUAGAAACUAUCAUGCUAAGUGAAGUCAGCCAUACAAUGAGACACCAACAUCAAAUGCUUUCACUGACAUGUGGAAUCUGAAAAAAAGACAGACGGAACUUCUUUGCAGAACAGAUGCUGACUCACAGACAUUGAAAAACUUAUGUUCUCCGGAGGAGACAGUUUGGGGGGUGGGGGUAUGUGCUUGGGCUGUGGGAUGGAAAUCCUGUGAAAUCAGAUUGUUAUGAUCAUUAUACAACUACAGAUGUGAUAAAUUCAUUUGAGUCAUAAAAAAAUGAAAAAAUAAAUAAAUAAAAUCAUGAGGAUUAA
rnacentral:lncRNA from 1 species